GUCUUCGGCCAUAAAGAGAAAUAAAAUUAUGGCAUUUGCUGGUAAAUGCAUGGAGCUGGAGAAUAUCAUGAAAAGUGAAAUAAGCCAAUCCCAAAGAACUACAGGUCAAAUGUUUUUUUCUGAUACACAGAUGCUAAGUCACAGUUUUGGGUAGGGUAGGGAAGACUAGAAUUACUUUUGAUUAAACAAAAGAAAAUGAAGGGAAGGGACCAAGAAUGGGAAUAGGAAAGUUAAUAGAAUGAAUCAGACAUUAAUUUCCUACAUGCAUAUAGAAAUACAAAACCAAUGUAAUGUACCACCAGAAGAAUGGAAAAUUAUACUCCUUGGAUAUAUAAUAUGUCAAAAUGCGUUCUACUGUCAUGUAUAACUAAUAAGAACAAAUUUUUAAAAAAGGAUUGGGAUGCAGAUUAAUGUUAGAACACCCAUGAGUUCAAUCCCCAGCACCACACAAAAAGUAAAAACAUGUUUAACUUUAUAUAUACUUCAUAUCACCAUAUACCAUAUUCAUAAUCUCCAUAUUUGAACAAAUUUUUUAAAAGCCUUUUCAUUAGUAUAAAACACUAUAUAGCAAUUACAGAAAAUUUAUGAGACAGGUUAGCAAAACCAAAAUUAACUUUUUGGUAUCUAUCUGAAUUUCUUAGACAGCCUUGGGGUAGCAAUGAGGUCACACUAGAGGUAGGUGUGGUGGCGUGUGCCUAUAGUCCCAGUGACUCUGGAAACUGAGUCAGGAGAAUUGCCUGAGCCCAGGAAUGCAGGGCCAGCCUAGGCAACAUAGUAAGACCUGUCUCUUUAAAAAACAAAAAAAAAGAAAGAAAUGAGGUCACAGUAAUAUCAAUUCGCAAAUCUCACUGGCUGUGGGCCUCCAGCCUUCUGUUCAGCUCUCUCCUAUUCUUGCCCUCUCCAGCUAUUUAUGGACGUUCCCCACAUUGGAAUAGUAAUUGUUUUCACUGUGGCCACCCACUCACCUCUUGGUAGCAGCUGUCUGGAGCAUUGUCUUGAAAUGAGACUACCUGACAGGCCGUGUCCCUCGUCAUCCUGGAGCACCCAGAACCACUUCCGUCCUCCCAACUGGGAGGCACAAGCCAGUGAUGUGAAGAGACUGAAUUGGCCACAUGUCAUUAUCAGCUUACCAAUUAAUGGUUCCAUUGUUGUAUCUCCAUUUUACCAUUCCUGUUCUGGACAACCAAAACACAUGGUUUCAUGGUUGGAAGGCUAAAUUUUGACUAAGCAAUGGAGCUGCUUCCCACAUGGUGUGGUCACCUCAAGAGCCUUUUCCUCUGAGCCAUUACUUGACACUGACAUCCUUCAGUAGAUCCACCUAUAUCUAUAGAAUGAACCAGAAUAAUGUCUGUAGGAUGGGAAGACAGUUCAUUUGUCUAAAAGAAACCCAGCCUGUCUCUUAUCAAGUCUUAUGAGAUGUGGAAUUUCCCCAAUACAGGAAUCCUCAGGAAAGUGACAUAUCCACUACAAUUAUGAAUGACUCCUGUGAGUUCUGAACCUAGGAUAGGGAGAAUCAAAGCACUUACAGUCAAAGCACUUACUGAUUUGAAUGAAGUUGAGCAAUACAAGUGUACUUGACUCCCAGGCUCUUAAAAUGGAGGGCACUCAUUAAAUACAUCAUUCAAAUACAAACCCUCCUGCUCCUCCUUGUCACUGUGGCCAUAUCUUGACCUUUGUGAGACUGGAGCAAACUUGUUCUCAAGAAAAGACCUUGACCUUGCAGAGAAAGCAUGCUUCAAAGCUGACAGUCUGUGUUGUUCAGAUGUGGAAGAAUAUGAAUGUUCUCUUCACAGAAUCUUCAAACUUUCUGCAAAACACGGAACUCCCACAGUCGCUUGUCUUGGGGAAUAUUUGGAUAAAUAGUUUAACCCAAGGUGGGCGAUAGAUACCCCCUACACCAAAACAAUCAUGCUCUUGAUUCUUCAUUAAGGACAGAAAGGGAAGCAGUUCCACAUAGUUAAUUUCUUGCUUGUGCAAAUGUGAGGAGAUGGUACCAGAUUUGUCAGACUGUUCAUCCUUCAUUCACCACCCCCUACUAUAUUUUCCUGUUUAGUCAACAAAUCCUCUACCCUCUUUCUUGUUUACCUAGCAUAGUCAUUUGGAACUUUCGUGUCUAUUGUCCUUCAUAUACAUUUUCCCUGGCUGAAGAUGUUCCAAGGGUAAUUAUGCAAGCAGAGUUUUGAAUGGUUAAUAGAUAACAUUCAGGGUAUAAAACAUUUUAAAUUCCAAUUGUCUUAGUUUGGGAUAUAACAGAAUGUCAAAGACUGAGUGGAUUAAGUAACAAAUAUUUACUUCUCUCAGUUCUAGAAGCUGUAGUGUCCAAGAGAAAGAGCCCAACGAUCCAGUAUGUGGCAGGAAUUUUACCCAUACUUUCUGGUUUGUAGACAGCCAUUUUCUCAUGUAUCCUUAUAUGGGGGCAAUGGAGAGACAGACAGAGAGAAAGACAGAGAGAGAGAGAGAGAGAGAGAGAGAGAGAGAGAGAGAGAGAGAGAGAUCAUGUAUCUUCUUAUAAGGGCAUUAAUUCCAUUUAUUAGAGUUCCUCUCAUGAACUAAUCACCUUCGAAAAGCCAGCCUCCAAAUAUCCUCACAUUGAUGAUUAAGCGUCAACUUAGUGAAUUUUUGGAUGUACACAAAUAUUCUGUCAUAGCACCAAUUAACAGAAUGUAUCACUGCAGGGCACAGGUAUUUCAAGUCUGAGGAACAUCUUUGGGCCACUGCUGGAUCACUUUGUGCUAUACUUAUAGAUACAUACCUGUACAUGUCCAGGAUUACUUCAUGAUAACUUCUACUGAGUAAAGUUUCUGGGUCUAAAUGGGUAAAUAUUUGUGAGACUGGAGCAAAUUUGUUCUCAAGAAAAUAUGAGUUAAAAUAUAACUCCACUAAUUGUGUACAAAGAGCCUAUAUCUUUACACCUAUACUAAACUUAGGUAUGACAAAUAAAUGUAAUCUUUGCCAAUUUGUGAGAUGAAAUGUUGUUUUCUCUUUUUAAAAAAUGUAUACUUCGUUAUUUAGUAGUGGAACUGCAUAUUUUUGUUUCUUAUAAU